GAUGAACGCUGGCGGCGUGCUUAAUACAUGCAAGUCGAGCGAACAGACAGAGAGCUUGCUCCUCCGACUUUAGCUUCGGUCGGGUUAGUUACACGAUGGUACCCUACCUCUUAGACUAGCAUAACUUCGGGAAACCAUAGCCUCUGCCGAACGAUAUAUUUACCAUCAUGGUCAUAUAUUCAACGUCGUCUUUACUUUCACUUAUAGAUGGAUCCGCGCCGCAUUAGCUACUUGUUACGGUAACGGCUUACCAAGGCCACGCUGCGUAGCCGACCUUAACGGGUGAUCGGCCACACUGGAACUGAGACACGGUCCAGACUCCGACGGGAAGAAGCAGUAGGGAAUCUUACGCAAGGGGCGAAAGGCGGACGGAGCAACGCGGCGUGAAUGAUGAAGGUGUUCGGAUCGUAAAACGCUGUUAUUAGGGAAGAACAAAUGUGGAAGUAACUAGGAAGGUCUUGACGGUACCUAAUCAGAAAGCCACGGCUAACUACGUG
rnacentral:rRNA from 1 species